AGAAGAUUCUACUAAAGCUGGGAAAUUCUAAUGAACAUUUGAACUGAGAUACCCAUGGCUGGUGGCUUGGAGUUUGAGCUGGACUGCACGAUCUUCUUUAUGGCAUUUAAAUACCUGCUUCAGGAGUCACAAUCAUAUUUCUCCUUGCCAAGCUGGAAACAUUAAACCUCCAAGCAAUCAGAGCAGGCAUAUCUGUUCUGCACAAAAGGACAUAGGAGAAAACUGGCUAACAGAUUCAGCUCAACUCCCCUUAUCUGGCUGAGUGGUCCCACCUACCUGGAAAUUUCCACAGGGAUUCAUAUGAAUUGUGA